GCAGGGGAGGUAGUGACAAAAAAUAACGAUACGGGACUCUUAUGAGGCCCCGUAAUCGGAAUGAGUACACUUUAAAUCCUUUAACAAGGAUCCAUUGGAGGGCAAGUCUGGUGCCAGCAGCCGCGGUAAUUCCAGCUCCAAUAGCGUAUAUUAAAGUUGUUGCGGUUAAAAAGCUCGUAGUUGGUUUUGCGUGCCGCGCUGUCGGUUCGCCGCCUGUCGGUGUAACUGGCAUGUCGCGGCAUGUCCUGUCGGUGGUGAACGAAACCCCAGGUUCGUAGCAGGGGCUUGUCCUUUGCUAUGUUCUGUAGGUGGUGUCGUUUGCCGAUCUCUCCUACUCCGGUGCUCUUAAACGAGUGUCGAGGUAGGCCGACACGGUCACUUUGAACAAAUUAGAGUGCUUAAAGCAGGCUGAAAUAUCUGCCUGAAUAGUAGUGCAUGGAAUGAUAAAAUAGGACCUCGGUUCUAUUUUGUUGGUUUUAGGAAUAUGAGGUAAUGAUCAAUGUGGACUGGCGGGGGCAUUCGUAUUGCGACGUUAGAGGUGAAAUUCUUGGAUCGUCGCAAGACGCACUAAAGCGAAAGCAUUUGCCAAGUAUGUCUUAAUUGAUCAAGAACGAAAGUUAGAGGUUCGAAGGCGAUCAGAUACCGCCCUAGUUCUAACCAUAAACGAUGCCAGCCAGCGAUCCGCCGAUGUUCCUAUGAUGACUCGGCGGGGAGCUUCUACUCGGGAAACCAAAGCUUUUGGGUUCCGGGGGAAGUAUGGUUGCAAAGCUGAAACUUAAAGGAAUUGACGGAAGGGCACCACCAGGAGUGGAGCCUGCGGCUUAAUUUGAUCAA
rnacentral:rRNA from 1 species